CGGGAUGUAGCGCAGCUUGGUAGCGCACCUCGUUCGGGACGAGGGGGUCGCCGGUUCAAAUCCGGCCAUCCCGACCA
rnacentral:tRNA from 2 species